rnacentral:rRNA from 1 species
UGGCCCAGAUCGUUUACCGUGAAAAAAUUAGAGUGUUCAAAGCAGGCAGAUCCAAUUUUCUGCCACCGAAUACAUUAGCAUGGGAUAAUGGAAUAGGACCCUGUCCUCCUAUUUUCAGUUGGUUUUGGCAGCGCGAGGACUAGGGUAAUGAUUAAUAGGGAUAGUUGGGGGCAUUAAUAUUUAAUUGUCAGAGGUGAAAUUCUUGGAUUUAUGAAAGAUUAACUUCUGCGAAAGCAUCUGCCAAGGAUGUUUUCAUUAAUCAAGAACGAAAGUUAGGGGAUCGAAGACGAUCAGAUACCGUCGUAGUCUUAACCAUAAACGAUGCCGACCAGCGAUUAGGAGACGUUGAAUACAAAACACCACCAUCGGCGCGGUCGUCCUUGGCGUCUGGGUUUCGGGGGCGGCGCGGGGACGGCUUAGCCCGGUGGCACCGGUGAAUGACUCCCCUAGCAGCUUGUGAGA